GGAGAUGUGGAUGUAAGUCAUUGCAAACCAGGAAGUGCUCUUCUCCUGUGUGGGUGCUUUUACACACAGGACGAGCCUGGACUGCCAUGACGGUGGUGGUGGUUGGUUGGGGAGUGGGCGGCUCUUCUCACACACCUCCUUAAAGAGGAACAUUGCUGAUUCUCACCAGGAGACCAAACCUUUAUCGCGGCACGCAGUGUUCGCUCACACCAGAGAUCCUGUUUUCUGAUAAGAAGAAAAAUAGUCUCAGUGUGUUCGGACUGAACGUCAUGUGGUCAUGCUCUACGAGCUGGGGGACGCGGAAGCAGCUGGCAUGGCUGGGCGGGACUUUGCGCGUUCCCAGGUAAUGCCAGAAUGCAAAAGACAGCUUCAGGGUGAAAAGGAGAGUGCACCGCCAGGUGAGCUGGUGUUGAAUGUAAGCCAAAGCAGUUAUAGAUCUGAAAAUCAAGGGCGCAGCAGCCGUGGCAAACUGACAUCACCGUGUGCACGCGGUGCAGGCUGGGCUGAACAUGGCCGCUAUCAGCAGCGGAGUAACUUAUAUCCUGUGUCUUGGGUGUAAGCCUUGUAUAAUCUCUGCGGUUAAAUAGCAAUAAGACGAGGUGGAGAGCCAGGUAAUUAAAAGUCCAUACGAGCCCUCUAUUUUAACGUAUGAUGCCCAGCAAGGAAAUGAGAAGCAGCUUCAUAAUUAACCUUCUGUGGACCCGGUCCCUCAACCACCCAUUAAAGGGACGUGGGAAAGCCUCAGGAGCCACUAGGAACUUUCCCACCGCGUGCCAUGAAGGGACAGACUGGGGAAUCAGAAAGAGUGGGGCACCGUUUUUCUCACUGGAGAUGGGUGGGGGCUGACGAUGAAACACCUCUCCGUCUGCUGUUGCUGAAUCUGCAGUUGGAAGAAUGCCAGCGACAGAGAAGCCUCAAGAAGGUGAUUAAAAUAGCGCAGGAUAAGGAUGCUAUUGAAAAGCUUGCCGGACUUGUCCCGAAGACCUCCCCUGCACUAGGCCAGACAUCAUGGCGGCUUAACAAAUGACCCUUCCCGGUAUCCUGAGCCCUGUGAACACCACAGGGCCUGCACUGCAGGCUUUAGCCUGUUAUCUAUUCAAACCUCAAAAUAACUCUUGGAUAGAGUCGACUUUUGUAGCAGAGAUUGACAGCUGCUCGCCAAGAUUUCUCUUUCCGGGCUCACAGACAGACAGACUGCCUUUUCCAGACAUGCUUGUGGCGAGCUGCAGUCGAAGUGUUAAAGAGAAGGAAAUAAAACAGAAGGGCAACCACAGCGACAGCAACAGAGAACGAGAAAAGAAACAAACUUGAUCGUGCUCUAGCAAAGCGCAGACAGACAGACCAGCGUUCAGUUAGAUCUCUGUGUGUGGAGUUUUGUUUUGUUUUGUUUCACGUGAAAACUGAUCUUCAUUGUCAACCCAGCUGGAUAAUUAGAGCCACCCAGGAAGCACACCUCAAGGUGUGUCUCUGAGGGUGUUUCCGAGGCUUAGCUGUUUAGGGGAGACCUGCCCUGUGGGUGGUGCCAUCCCUUGGGCUUGAGUCUUGAAGUGAAUAACAAGGAGAAAGGAAGCAGAGAACCGGUCCGUUGCUUCUGUCUGCUUCCUGACUGUGGAUGCCACGAUUCUAAGAAGUCAGCAUGGAAGGACGGAAAGAGAUCAUCCAACUCCCUGUUUGUUUCCUAGCUGACAAAGCCAUCAAAAUCAACAGCUUUUCUAAAAUGGCAUCAUAUUUUCACUAAACUGCCCAAGGACUUCUGACUAGAGGUGGAAGCCACAUGCUCAUGUUCCAGAGUGAGAGUUCAUCAAGGAGGAGGAGGCAUGGCAGGGAAGCCAGAACAGAAAACCCAGAGAUCAUGUCUUCAACAGAAAACUUCAAACAGAGAGAGCAAUCUGGAACUGGGGAGAGACUAUGAGCGCUCAGAGCCCACCCACAGUGACAUAUUUCCUUCAGUAAGACUGUACCAUCUCCCAAACAGCGCCACCAACGGGUAACCAAGUAUUCAAAUACCUGUGCCUGUGGGGGGCAUUCUUAUCCAAACAACUACAGUCUUUGAGCCUGUAUAAGUUGGCUUUUGUAUAUGGUGUGAAGUAGGGGUUCAGCUUUAUCCACGUGGUAGUUAACUGUCCUGGGUCAUUUGCUGGAAAAACUUUUCUUUGUCUCCUGUAACUGUCUUGUCAAGGUUAUGAAAAAUCAUGGUGCCAGAGGAGAGGUUUCUGGAGGGGCUAUUUAUUCCGUGAAUUUAUCCAGCUAUCUCUGUGUGUUCAUAAGCGAGUAGUAGCCCCUAGUCCAAGGUUGCUGUGGACUUGUAACAAUGGCCAUUUGGAGCUAUUUCUCUUUUAAAUUUUAGGCACCCCAUCAUAGUUCACCUGCUCCAUUAUUUGGAACUUCCGUUUUUUUCCAGAAUGCAAUUGACAGUUCCUAA